CCUACGGGUGGCAGCAGUGAGGAAUAUUGGUCAAUGGCCGGAAGUCUGAACCAGCCAAGUCGCGUGAGGGAAGACGGCCCUACGGGUUGUAAACCUCUUUUGUCAGGGAGCAAAUUGCGGCUCGUGACCUGCUGUGUGCAUACCCUAAGAGAAAGCAUCGGCUAACUCCGUGCCAGCAGCCGCGGUAAUACGGAGGAUGCGAGCGUUAUCCGGAUUUAUUGGGUUUAAAGGGUGCGCAGGCGGAGGCACAAGUCAGCGGUAAAAUCGCGGGGCUCAACCCCGAUUUGCCGUUGAAACUGGGGGCCUUGAGUGCGCGAAGGGUAGGCGGAAUGCGUGGUGUAGCGGUGAAAUGCAUAGAUAUCACGAAGAACUCCGAUCGCGAAGGCAGCUGACCGGAGUGCAACUGACGCUGAUGCACGAAAGCGUGGGUAUCGAACAGGAUUAGAUACCCGGGUAGUC
rnacentral:rRNA from 1 species